rnacentral:rRNA from 1 species
GAGACCUUCGGGUCUAGUGGCGCACGGGUGCGUAACGCGUGGGAAUCUGCCCUUAGGUACGGAAUAACUCAGAGAAAUUUGUGCUAAUACCGUAUGAUGUCGAAAGACCAAAGAUUUAUCGCCUAAGGAUGAGCCCGCGUAAGAUUAGCUUGUUGGUGAGGUAAAAGCUCACCAAGGCGACGAUCUUUAGCUGGUCUGAGAGGAUGAUCAGCCACACUGGGACUGAGACACGGCCCAGACUCCUACGGGAGGCAGCAGUGGGGAAUAUUGGACAAUGGGCGAAAGCCUGAUCCAGCAAUGCCGCGUGAGUGAUGAAGGCCUUAGGGUUGUAAAGCUCUUUUACCAGGGAUGAUAAUGACAGUACCUGGAGAAUAAGCUCCGGCUAACUCCGUGCCAGCAGCCGCGGUAAUACGGAGGGAGCUAGCGUUGUUCGGAAUUACUGGGCGUAAAGAGUACGUAGGCGGUGAUUCAAGUCAGAGGUGAAAGCCUGGAGCUCAACUC